CUUCUCUCUUGAGCUCUUCUCCCUCAAACUCUCACGCGCUCUUUGCGCUCGCUCAUAGAGUUCCGAGUAAACAGACCUCCGUCCCGUUCUCCUCACGGUGAUAUCAGAGAUGGCAAUUAAAGAGAACGACGAAUGCAUAGACUUCACACUCGUUAAUCAGUCGUUGUUCGACUCACACGCGGAUUUUCGAGGCGCUCUCUCACCCUCUGCGCGCGCUGUGACUCUCAUGCCGAGCGCGCGGGACAAGUUUUUUGCUCUCGGAUGGGGCUUUGCUUCGGAGAGUAUCUUACCAGGAUGCUAAGUUGGAAAUUGAGGAUUCUGACGCCUACUAUGAGCCUCUCGCUCCUCCUCUCGGGGUGUAGUCAUCGAAAGAAAGGCAAGCUGGGUUACAGCAGCUCAGCCUGAAUCGACACACACACACACACACACACACACACACACACACUCUCUCUCUCUCUCUCUCUCUCUCUCUCUACAUUCAUACCCUGGUACUCACUAACAAUCUUCCCCGCUAUCCCCCUAUUUUUGUCUCUAACAAGCCUCAAUGCUUUAGAUUGAGCUGCUUCAACCCCUGGAUGGCGGUCUCAUGCGAGCCAGUACAUCAACUUCAACUUUCCUCAUUUUCUAAAUACACGAAGCCUUCAUUUUCACGCAUGAUUAAUAACAAAUGGACUGUUAUCUUCUUGGGGACGGCUGGCCAAAUACGACAGGAGACACUACAAGAGCAGAGUGCGCAUUUCCUGAUACGUGCAGACAAAGUGUGGCAGUUUGAAAGCUAUUUAACACUGAUUGGAGCCCUUUCUGCUCUUCGCCAGAGAGAAUACCUCUUCAGGUGCCGGUGUCGAGCAUCUCUGAUACACACUGCGCCUCCUCCAUGCUACGAGACCCUCCCCUGAUCAGUCAAGGUUGACAGAGAAGGCCUUUGUGCGACACUCCAAGGAACAGAUGUCUGCCUGAGAGAGCAGUUCACCUGGAGCCGCGCUGGAUUACCCAUGGCCUCGCUUUGAUGGAUUAGCAUGUAUGGAAAUUGCCCGAUUAUUGAUAUGAAAAUAUUUGCAAACGAGGGGAAACUGGUGAUGUGAGGGGUGAGGGGCGCGAAGACGCUAAGAGAGCUUAUCAGCCUUUCUUCCAACCUUGUCCCUCGCUUCCUACAGAAAGAGGAAAAAAGAAGAGGGUUAGAAAAGACAGAUGAGGGCAUAGGGAGGAGAAAGAGAGGUGCUGUGUGUCAGCGUGGCAGUAUUCAGCUGCCCUUCAUGAAAUAUUGUUCACCAUUAUAUUAACAGAGCUGAGUGGAGAGAGAUAAGAGAGCUUCUGAAAUAGUAAGCAGAAUGUCCUGAGGAGAUAUUUCAAUCUUUAUUCUCUGUCACUCUCUCUCUCUCUUUUUCUCCCUCUCACCCCAUCUUUUUCUUUCAUUUAGGGCAACGGGUGAAUGUGAAAUGUGCCGAGACCUUUAUAAAUGAAGACAGGGCUGGAGAAAUGAUGACAUCAUCAACUCCCACAUAAUUGCUUGAUUUGUCAGUCUGUAAUCUGUAUUUUCGGCAGGGUGGGAAGAGGGGGUGGGGGUUCCCUUCAGGAUCACAAGCUACGCAACCUCUCUUCACUUCCAUUACAUUUUCUUAACUAGCCACAGAGAGAGGGCUGAGGGUUUGCACGCCUGCAAAAAAUUAUAUCGAUCGUAUGCAUAAUUAUACAGCAUGCGUCAAGGCGUACAAAAUUAUAUAACUAAAAUUAUACAUUUGGGAAUGAGAUCAACCAGAGAAAGGCUUACCAUUUCAGUCUGUUUCACCUCUUGGAGAGGUGAUACUAUGACACCAUGCUGUGGUGGAGGGAGAGGAAGAAGAAAGAUUUUCUAAGGAAGACUUGAAAAGAGUUCUUUAAAGCAGUGAAAAACAAAAAAAGUAAAAUGCAACAUUUUCAUGACAAAUAUAUAUAUAUAUAUUGUGUAAAAAAAGUGAUUUAAAUUACUUAACUUUUAUAUUCAGCCAAAAUAUCAAUAAGAUCCUAAAUUACGGAAGGAUUUCCAAACAAGGCAGAGUUGUGUAUACAUGUAUCAUAAGUAAGAAAGGAGGAGGAAGUUCAUCUGCACAUAGGUGUUGUUUAUUAUCAAAAAUAGUUUGGAGAUAAUAAGUGGAUAUCAUCUGCAAACCAAGUGAAGUAUCAUUAUCAAAAAAAGUAUUUUAAUGGUUUGAUUGAUAUUGAUUUACAUAUCAGACUGCAUUUACAUGCAGAUGUCCAAAUGCUGAAUUGCAGAAACAUGUACUUCAGAAGCAGAUUCAAGAUUCAAGAUUUUUAUUCAUCAAAUACACGAUUAUAUAGAGAAUAUAUAACCAGCAGUGAAAUGUGAGUCAGGUCCGCUCCAUGGACAGUGCAAUUAUUAAAGAAUACAACACAGAUGAAAAUAUGCAUAAAUAUAGGUAUGAAAGAAUGAAAUAAAAGUAAACAAUAAAAAUAUAAGAAUAAAAUA
ensembl:lncRNA